rnacentral:rRNA from 1 species
UAAGACGAACCGUGCGAACGUUGUUCGGAAUCACUGGGCUUAAAGGGCGCGUAGGUGGUUGAUCAAGUCUGGGGUGAAAUCUUUCGGCUUAACCGGAAAAGUGCCUUGGAUACUGAUCAGCUGGAGGGAGGUAGGGGCAGUUGGAACUUCCAGUGGAGCGGUGAAAUGCGUUGAUAUUGGAAGGAACGCCGGUGGCGAAAGCGAGCUGCUGGACCUCUUCUGACACUGAGGCGCGAAAGCUAGGGGAGCAAACGGGAUUAGAUACCCCGGUAGUCCUAGCCCUAAACGUUGGGUACUAGGUAGUGGACUUAACAUGGGUUCACUGCCGAAGCAAAAGUGUUAAGUACCCCGCCUGGGGAGUAUGGUCGCAAGGCU